UACGGAGGGGGCUAGCGUUGUUCGGAAUUACUGGGCGUAAAGCGCGCGUAGGCGGCUUUGUAAGUUAGAGGUGAAAGCCCAGGGCUCAACCCUGGAAUUGCCUUUAAGACUGCAUCGCUUGAACAUCGGAGAGGUAAGUGGAAUUCCGAGUGUAGAGGUGAAAUUCGUAGAUAUUCGGAAGAACACCAGUGGCGAAGGCGGCUCACUGGCCCGGUACUGACGCUGAGGUGCGAAAGCGUGGGGAGCAAACAGG
rnacentral:rRNA from 1 species